CACACUAUCAUUAACUGAAUCCAUAGGUUAAUGAGGCGAACCGGGGGAACUGAAACAUCUAAGUACCCCGAGGAAAAGAAAUCAACCGAGAUUCCCCCAGUAGCGGCGAGCGAACGGGGAGGAGCCCAGAGCCUGAAUCAGUGUGUGUGUUAGUGGAAGCGUCUGGAAAGGCGCGCGAUACAGGGUGACAGCCCCGUACACAAAAAUGCACAUGCUGUGAGCUCGAUGAGUAGGGCGGGACACGUGGUAUCCUGUCUGAAUAUGGGGGGACCAUCCUCCAAGGCUAAAUACUCCUGACUGACCGAUAGUGAACCAGUACCGUGAGGGAAAGGCGAAAAGAACCCCGGCGAGGGGAGUGAAAAAGAACCUGAAACCGUGUACGUACAAGCAGUGGGAGCCUCUUUAUGGGGUGACUGCGUACCUUUUGUAUAAUGGGUCAGCGACUUAUAUUCUGUAGCAAGGUUAACCGAAUAGGGGAGCCGAAGGGAAACCGAGUCUUAACUGGGCGUUAAGUUGCAGGGUAUAGACCCGAAACCCGGUGAUCUAGCCAUGGGCAGGUUGAAGGUUGGGUAACACUAACUGGAGGACCGAACCGACUAAUGUUGAAAAAUUAGCGGAUGACUUGUGGCUGGGGGUGAAAGGCCAAUCAAACCGGGAGAUAGCUGGUUCUCCCCGAAAGCUAUUUAGGUAGCGCCUCGUGAAUUCAUCUCCGGGGGUAGAGCACUGUUUCGGCAAGGGGGUCAUCCCGACUUACCAACCCGAUGCAAACUGCGAAUACCGGAGAAUGUUAUCACGGGAGACACACGGCGGGUGCUAACGUCCGUCGUGAAGAGGGAAACAACCCAGACCGCCAGCUAAGGUCCCAAAGUCAUGGUUAAGUGGGAAACGAUGUGGGAAGGCCCAGACAGCCAGGAUGUUGGCUUAGAAGCAGCCAUCAUUUAAAGAAAGCGUAAUAGCUCACUGGUCGAGUCGGCCUGCGCGGAAGAUGUAACGGGGCUAAACCAUGCACCGAAGCUGCGGCAGCGACACUAUGUGUUGUUGGGUAGGGGAGCGUUCUGUAAGCCUGCGAAGGUGUACUGUGAGGUAUGCUGGAGGUAUCAGAAGUGCGAAUGCUGACAUAAGUAACGAUAAAGCGGGUGAAAAGCCCGCUCGCCGGAAGACCAAGGGUUCCUGUCCAACGUUAAUCGGGGCAGGGUGAGUCGACCCCUAAGGCGAGGCCGAAAGGCGUAGUCGAUGGGAAACAGGUUAAUAUUCCUGUACUUGGUGUUACUGCGAAGGGGGGACGGAGAAGGCUAUGUUGGCCGGGCGACGGUUGUCCCGGUUUAAGCGUGUAGGCUGGUUUUCCAGGCAAAUCCGGAAAAUCAAGGCUGAGGCGUGAUGACGAGGCACUACGGUCCUGAAACAA
rnacentral:rRNA from 1 species